rnacentral:lncRNA from 1 species
GCUGUCGCCCCGACUGUGCCUCGCUGCCGCUCCUGCCACCUGAGCGUCGCCAGCCGGCCUUCUUAUCCGGAGGCCGCCGCGGAACCGACCUGAGCUGGUUAUUUAAGGACCCGCGAGGCCUCCGAGCUCCUUAGCACCCUCCCAGGACCAGCAGCCCCCUCCCCAUCGCCCCAAUUUGGCCCGAGCUGCCUUCUGUGCUCGUAUCUGACAGCAGCGCUGCCGUCGACCUCCUGCUCGAUUCCGGCAGCCCCGAUGCCGUCUCGUCCUCUCAGGACCACCACUAGCCUACCCAGGCCAUAGGGAACUCAUUCCCAUCGUCUUGCAUGGCCGGGAGCCACCUGAGGCCGAACCUGUAGGAUGGGCGAACCUCCAUCUGCCAUUGCCGAAGAUCCGCCCAGCCCCGAGCUCCUUCGCGCCUCUAGGAGGCAAAAAUGGAUGCGGUGUCUUCCCCUGAGCGUGUGCAUAGCUCGAGCGCGUCGUGAGGUGCCCUGGGCCGCCGGCAAUCGUCGCCGGAGUGCGCCUCUCCUCCCUCCCCUCGCACGCGCGGGAGGUGGAAGAAGAACCCGACAAGCAGGUCCCGCGUGUCGGUGAGCCAGCCGAAGUUCUCGAGUGGUGCAAAACCCAUGGUGCAUCUUCCUUUUAGUAAAGCGUUUUUCGUGGCAGCUAUCUCAGCAAAUGCGCUUCCACUGAUAGAAAGUGUAUUUGCACCCGAAGCGUUUUCUUUUAUUUUGAUUUUAAAAACAGAUUUAAUCGGAAACUUAGAAUAGCUCUAACUUUUUAUAGGAAACUCCAAAUCAAUUGAUUCUUUUUCCUACCUGUUUAUAAUUUCAUCUAGUUUAUUUUAAGAUUUAUUUUAUAAAUAUUCAAACAAAUUGUGUGUGCUGUUUUUAUUAUGUGUUUUAAUUCAAAUAUUUUGAAACUAGGAUUUUGAAGAGUGGCUACCUACUCCAAGAUGAUGGGGUACAAAUCACCCUCCUCAAACCCCUAAGGCAAGCAUCUUGAAUCCAAAUUUUGCAUAAGUUGUGUGCUGAUUGUGGUGGUGCAUAUAUUGCGUGAUUUGAGGUUAUGUUGAUAAAAAAAUAUUGCAUGAAAUACUACAUGCUACUCAUAUCCUAAUAAAGGUGAAACAUGAUGAUGGCAUGUGCUAGUUAUGAAAGGUCGUGGAAUAACCUAGUCACGCGGAACGUGAUAGGUUAUGGCCUGGUCAUGACAUGCGCACGAUGAUGUCGCUAAAACUUGGUUUACUCCAGUAUCGACCUAGAUCGAGUCUUGUCCGUGUCAUACUUCUAUAGCGUGCUACCACAGUUUCCUGGAUAAUGGAUUCGGUAAAGUGAGUUGUAGACCUAUUAUCAGUCACACACCAACUAGAGGGGCCGGGAUGAAGGUAUCCAGGGCCCUAGACUAAAUCCAGUCAUUCGGUAGGGGCAUGGGUGUUCCCGGGCUGGGACCGGGAGGGAAUGGUCCUUCCUAGUGAGCGCGCGAUAUUAAUUUUUGAUCCCAUGCUAGUCGAGGUCGGAGCCUCCCCAUCUUAUGAUUUUGCCUUGGCAGCAUAGUCCGGGUGAAGCCGGGCUUCCUAGAGGAAAAUCG